rnacentral:rRNA from 1 species
CCUACGGGUGGCAGCAGUGAGGAAUAUUGGUCAAUGGACGCAAGCCUGAACCAGCCAAGUCGCGUGAAGGAUGACGGCCCUACGAGUUGUAAACUGCUUUUGUACGGGGGUAAAUGCAGGCACGUGUACCUUUUUGUAGGUACCUUAUGAAUAAGGAUCGGCUAACUCCGUGCCAGCAGCCGCGGUAAUACGGAGGAUCCAAGCGUUAUCCGGAUUUUUUGGGUUUAAAGGGAGCGUAGGCGGUUUUAUAAGUUAGUGGUGAAAGUUUGGGGCUCAACCCCAAAAUUGCCAUUAAUACUGGAGGACUUGAGAGUAGUUGAGGUAGGCGGAAUGUGUGGUGUAGCGGUGAAAUGCUUAGAGAUCAUGCAGAACACCGAUUGCGAAGACAGCUUACCAAAC